rnacentral:rRNA from 1 species
CGUACCUACGGGGCGCAGCAGUAGGGAAUUUUCGUCAAUGGGCGCAAGCCUGAACGAGCAAUGCCGCGUGAACGAGGAAGGUCUUCGGAUCGUAAAGUUCUGUUGAAGGGGAAAAAGAGCGGAGAGAGGAAAUGGUCUCCGAUUGAUAUUACCCUUCGAGGAAGUCACGGCUAACCACGUGCCAGCAGCCGCGGUAAUACGUAGGUGGCAAGCGUUGUCCGGAUUUUUUGGGCGUAAAGCGACUGCAGGCGGUUUA